CCCGCCCCGGAGAUGAAUUCUGGGAAGUUAGUCUUUGGGAGAAAGGUCGCUCUCCAGGAAGAAUUUCUGAGCCAGGUGAAACAUUGCUUCAAUCACACAAGAAUGAAACAACCUUCUGACACCCCUACUACCACCACUACCUCCCUUCACAUGAGUGAACUUGGAACACAGGCUGGCCCUGUUUGGACCAUGCUCAUUCUGAGAUCCACAGGCUCAUGGGUGAGCAACAAUGUUGUUAAAAGCAGCCAAUCGUGACUGUGGCCUUUUAACUUCUCAGCUGAGAAAGAAAAGACAGCGGGUGCCUUUAUACUGCAAAACAAGACCUUCUUGAUGAAGAUUUUGUGCAAUGCAUUGUGACCAUACUUAAGCUCAUCACUGGGUACCUGUGAAGAUUGCAGAGCUGCCCCCACUCUGCACCUAACAACACAACAUUAUAAUAUUUAAAACAAAAUGUCAAAUCGCUUGUGAUAAAUCUAUCAUGA
rnacentral:lncRNA from 1 species